UUUUGCUUUGUUUUUAUCUAAAUGCCAGUUAGUUAACAUACAGUGUUGUAUUCGGUUUCAAGUGGAUGAUAUAGGGACCCAACCCAACACUUCCAUACGUCACCCAGUGCUCAUCACAAGUGCAUUCCUGAAUCUCCAUCACCUAUCUCACCCAUCGCCCUGCCUGCCUCCCCUCUGGUGACCAUCGGUGUGUUCUCUACAGUUACGAGUCUAGGGCUCUCUUACUACAGGAUAAUUCUGUGUAAUCAAGGCAGCCAUGGAAGAAUGGGUGCCCUUCCCCCUUUUUUUUCCAACAAAACUUUCCUCCUUUACUGCCAUUAUGGAAAGGAGCUGCUCAAUGAUUCACACAGGCAUAUACAUAGACGGACGGCCAAGGAGUUCCUAAAGUAUUCCUCCCUUCCCUGAGAUCUCUCUUAACUCUUUAGUUCAAGAAAACAUGGAAAUUGUGGAAUUCCAGGCUCAGUAAUUGGGUUGAUAAGUUAAAUACUGGGGGACAAGAGGGACUUCUUGGUUUAAAACCUCCCAAGUAUACUAUUGAAUAUUCCACCAAUAUAUGAGAACAGAUCUGGGCCUAAAGCAAGUCACGAGGAUGUCAGAUUUCAUCCAUCCAGACUAGUAGUUCUUUAAAGGAAGAGACUGGGUUUGAGUUCAUCUCAUAUCCUUAGUCCCCAAGGUAAUCUUGGUCACUCAUUCAACUAACAGCUAUUUUUACCUACUUAAUAGUAGGACUCUCCCUAGACUCUGUGCGUACAGAAAUUCAAGGCACAGUUCCUCGCCAUCAAGAAAUUUUCCAUUCAAUGGAGCAUCCAAGCACUAAUCAGAUAAUUAUUUUAUAAUGUAAUAAAAGCUAUGUACUGGCACAUGUUAUUAUGGUAAUCUGAGAUAGACUGGGAUCUAAACUGACUUGACCUGGCAAAAGGUGGACAAGUAAAGCAUUCAUAGACUAAGGAAUUAGCUUAUUAAGGCCAGAGCAGGAACUCAGUACACACUGAAAUAAAAAUAAACACGUAGUGCACGAGAGCCUUUGGCACAACUGUGCCAGCAUCAGAACAAAAUAAACAAAAGCAAUAACACGAAUGGAUUUCCAAUGGCUUCUAUAACUGUCACACCACCAGAGCCAACAGUCAAACUCAAACUUGACCAUACGUGCUGAAGUUAAAUUGUUCAAUUUCUUCCAUUAGCUUUUGGGUGUGUCACCUCUCUGACAUUGUCAUCCACUACAGAUUAGCACCAAGGAGGAGGGUAUAAAUGCACUUUCACCACUUGACAGAAAUACAUGAUCACACCUGAUUACAUACAGCAGUGUAUUCUAAAAGGCACUCCAAGAGAUAUCAAUAAGUGUUCAUCAAAAAGAAAGUUCAUGGAUGAUUAAGAUGGGAAUACAGAUGUCACUUUCUCACGAUCUCCACUGCUCACCACGUGGUCCAAGUCACCAUCUUGUCUCACCUGGACAUUGCAGUGGUCUUCCCAGUUCUACCUCUACCUUACAGGCUCUUCUCCAAACAGCAGGCAGAGUAAUCCUUUCCAAAGAUAGGGCAGAUAAUAUCACUCAGGGGCUUCUCCCCAGCCCCUCUGUCCCUACAGCGCCUGGCCCAUGUCCUCUCUUCUCUCAUCUUCCACCACACUCCCUCAUUCCACCCCAGUCUACUACAACAUGCCAGUACUCUUUUGCCUCAGGGCUUUUGCACUUGCUAUUCUCUCUGCUUAGAAUGCUCUCCUCCCUUCCUCAUAACUGACAGCCCUCCCUUACUUCCUUUUGGUUCCUUCACAAAUGCCACCUCUAUGCAGAGCCCUAGAUCGCACUAUCUAAAACAGUGCCCCCACAUCAUCACAUUCUGAUUCUAUGCUGUUUUUAUUAUCAUCUUCCAUUAUCUGAUAACAUGUUAUAUAUAUAUUUUUACUUGUUUAUCAUUUGAUUAUCCCCAGAAAAUGUAAACUCCAUGAGAAAAGGAACUCGUAUUUGGUUCUUGGCUAAAUUCCCAGUACUUUCUAAAAAAUGUCUGACACUUUCUAAAAUUAUCUGUAAAACAAAUGCCUGAAUGGAACACUAAAUUAAGCAAAACUGAAUCUUUUGAUUGUUGUUACUGCUUUUACAGGCCUUCUCAGGACCUUUGACAUACUACUCAUGCUUUGUGUGCAUCUUUCCUCCAUUAAGGGGAAAAAACAACAUCACCCAUGCUUAUCUGACCCUGCAGCCCAAAAUAUCUUACGUGACAAGCAUUCUCAGGACACGUAUUAGGGUAUCCUCACCAGGAGUGAGAUGCAACAGGGGUGAAAACAUUUUCCUGGUGUUGCCACAAGGGAAGGUUCCCUCAAGAAAGACAGAGGCCUUCUCUUGUGAUCAAUGCAAUUCCUCCAAUACGGGAGUAGGAUGAACACCACUGCCUCUCAGUAUGAACCCAGAAGCGAAUUAAUUCUGAUGUUUCUUGGUCUAAUUUUGGGGAGGCAAAUUAGUUUGAUGCUGCCACUGAGUAGUCGCCUGUUCCUGUCCUGGCCAGUUAGGUCUGCAGAAAGACGCCCCCUCUGUCUUGUCUCCAUCAGCAGAAUGGAAUCUGUAACAGCCCCGCAGGCCACUCUUCAUAUGGAAAUACUCACUGGAAAUAUUCAGGGUAGAGGAAGGAGGACAAAAUACAUUUCCUUAUUGGAAAUGCGCUUUACUUUACCCUCUCUCCAUCUCUUUCAUAUAAUUUGCAUGUAAUCAUUUUAAGUAUUCAUCAUUAAUAAUUACCUCUGCUAUAGUCCUAAGGAAAUCACAUGUGAUUCUUUAAGAAAGGUCUAGGAAAAUAAAAAAUAGUGAAAGAACUUGUCAUUCAAAGGACCAUUUAAAAAAGUAACUCCAGGAUCCCUGGGUGGCACAGCGGUUUGGCGCCUGCCUUUGGCCCAGGGCGCGAUCCUGGAGACCCGGGAUCGAAUCCCACGUCGGGCUCCCGGUGCAUGGAGCCUGCUUCUCCCUCUGCCUGUGUCUCUGCCUCUCUCUCUCUCUGUGACUAUCAUAAAAAAAAAAAAAAAAAAAAA
rnacentral:lncRNA from 1 species